GAGGCUUAGGAUAAACAGACCGAGGGCCUUCAAAGCCCUAAGCGGGAGUGAAAGCCUCUCAGCCUCU
rnacentral:tRNA from 1 species